rnacentral:misc_RNA from 1 species
UUUCCGUAGGUGAACCUGCGGAAGGAUCAUUAUCGUAUAAAUGAGGUGCGAAGGCUGUCGCUGACUUUUUGUCGUGCACGCCCAAGUGCUCUCUCACACAAUCCAUCUCACCCUUAUGUGCACCACCGCGUGGGUCUCCUUUUUUUCCAAAAAAAAGGAGGCUUGCGUUUUCACACAAACUUGAUGCAAGUAUAGAAUGUCUUUAUUUUUGCGAUAGUACGCAAUUAAUACAACUUUCAACAACGGAUCUCUUGGCUCUC